rnacentral:rRNA from 1 species
UACGAAGGGGACUAGCGUUGUUCGGAAUUACUGGGCGUAAAGCGCACGUAGGCGGAUUUGUAAGUCAGGGGUGAAAUCCCGGGGCUCAACCUCGGAACUGCCUUUGAUACUGCAAAUCUCGAGUCCGAUAGAGGUGGGUGGAAUUCCUAGUGUAGAGGUGAAAUUCGUAGAUAUUAGGAAGAACACCGGUGGCGAAGGCGGCUCACUGGUCCGGUACUGACGCUGAGGUGCGAAAGCGUGGGGAGCAAACAGG